UAUUAAAAAAUCUAUUCAUUUCUACCGUUAAAAACUGGCGUUGCUAACAUAAUAACCAAAUAGUUACACAUGACAUGACACAUUUGCCCCAUUUUGGCAUACAAGGACCAAUUUUAACAAUAGAAAUGGAUGGAAAUUUUAAGA
rfam:Gossypium raimondii Chr11_contig_1366, whole genome shotgun sequence.